GGGAGAUGCUGCCCCUCUUGGGUAUGAAAUCAAAUCCAAGUCCAGAGACCAAGGAAUUGGUUUUACAAGUGGUGGAAAGUAUUUUGUCAGUGCCAAACGCAGAACAAGUUUUGGUGAGUGGUUAUGUGAGAAAAGGGGAGCGUUUACUUCCUGCUUCGGCAUUGGAGUUAUUGCUACAUCUGGCAUUCCCUUCAGCUCCAGUUGAGGAAACUGAUAGAUUUGAGACAAUCUAUCCCAC